UGGGGAAUAUUGGACAAUGGGCGCAAGCCUGAUCCAGCAAUGCCGCGUGCAGGAUGAAGGCCUUCGGGUUGUAAACUGCUUUUGUACGGAACGAAAAGGCUCUGGCUAAUACCUGGGGCACAUGACGGUACCGUAAGAAUAAGCACCGGCUAACUACGUGCCAGCAGCCGCGGUAAUACGUAGGGUGCGAGCGUUAAUCGGAAUUACUGGGCGUAAAGCGUGCGCAGGCGGUUUUGUAAGACAGAGGUGAAAUCCCCGGGCUCAACCUGGGAACUGCCUUUGUGACUGCAAGGCUGGAGUGCGGCAGAGGGGGAUGGAAUUCCGCGUGUAGCAGUGAAAUGCGUAGAUAUGCGGAGGAACACCGAUGGCGAAGGCAAUCCCCUGGGCCUGCACUGACGCUCAUGCACGAAAGCGUGGGGAGCAAACAGGAUUAGAUACCCCUGGUAGUCCACGCCCUAAACGAUGUCAACUGGUUGUUGGGUCUUAAUUGACUCAGUAACGAAGCUAACGCGUGAAGUUGGACCGCCUGGGGAGUACGGCCGCAAGGUUGAAACUUAAAUGAAUUGACGGGGUCAUAGCUGUUUCCU
rnacentral:rRNA from 1 species